CUUUUGCAUAGCGAAGUAGAUUCACUGCCAUUGAAAAGGAGUGCAUGGCGGUGGUGUGGGCCCUCAAAAAGCUGCAACCUACUUGUAUGGACAACCGUUUACCUUACUCACAGAUCACAACAAAUUUGGGGCACUGCGCGUGCAAUCUAAUGUGCCACCAGAUAGGAGUGGUGUGUUUAGUACUAUUGUUAUCAGUUUAAUCACUGUUACGUCCCCUAUCCAUUGAUGUGGAGCAAGACGCAGCAGCAGAAGAGGACUAAGCCGAGGAGGUUAUGGAAGAGGAUGGAGUAGGAGGAGUAGAGGAGGUGGCAGCGUACUGGCAGAGUACACGCUGUAGGGCUGACACACCUGCUUGAAGAUAACUAACUGCUAUUCAAUCUAUAACAGUGAAAAAAGUUUUUUGUUUUU